CCUACGGGAGGCAGCAGUCGAGAAUUAUUCACAAUGGGGGAAACCCUGAUGGUGCGACGCCGCGUGGGGGAAUGAAGGUCUUCGGAUUGUAAACCCCUGUCAUGUGGGAGCAAAUUAAAAAGAUAGUACCACAAGAGGAAGAGACGGCUAACUCUGUGCCAGCAGCCGCGGUAAUACUGAGGUCUCAAGCGUUGUUCGGAAUCACUGGGUGUAAAGCGUGCGUAGGCUGUUUCGUAAGUCGUGUGUGAAUUGCGCGGGCGCAACCCGCGGACGGCACAUGAUACUGCGAGACUAGAGUAAUGGAAGGGGAACCGGAAUUCUCGGUGUAGCAGUGAAAUGCGUAGAUAUCGAGAGGAACACUCGUGGCGAAGGCGGGUUCCUGGACAUUAACUGACGCUGAGGCACGAAGGCCAGGGGAGCGAAAGGGAUUAGAUACCCUAGUAGUC
rnacentral:rRNA from 1 species